UUCUGAAUGUUUUGUCAGAAUCUCCUUUCUUGCAACUUGAAGCCAUUGGUUUGAGUCCUACCCUCUAGAGCAGGAGAAAACAAGCAUGCUCCAUGUGACAGCCCUUAAAAUAUUUGAAGAUGGCUAUCAUAUUUUCUCUCAGUCUUCUCUUUUCCAGGCUAAACAUACCCAGCUCCUUCAAGC